UCCUUUCCUUGCAUCACAGCUGCGGCUUGAGGCACCGCUAGUCCGCUGCCGGCGUUCCAUUGCCACCUUGACCUGCUGCUACUGUGUUGGCGCCGCGGAUUCCGUGCCGCCGCUGCCUCCACCCUAUCUUGGGACUGCAGGCGCCAAGAAUUCUUGCUACGACGCUCCAUUCAACCUGGAGGUCCAACCAACAUGAUCAGAAUCCAUGCUUCUGUUGAAGAGGUAUACUGAGUCCUGCCUCGCCCAGUGAGUUAACCAGAAAAUUGGCAGAGGCUCAAAUCAGCAUCCUGAAUGUGACUAUCAAGCCAUUGUGAAAUCUUGGCUGAAUUGUGAAGGAUAUUUUUGACAACUAUCUUAGAAAGCCCACCAGAUCAUGUGAAUGAACAUGCAGCAGAAGAGGGGGUGUUCUCUCAGUGAUUAAGGUAACAGUGAAUAAGGCUGCUUUGUAUUUAUUCCUCAGGGAGAACUGGUGGAGACUUCAUGUGAGGAAGAAGAAAAGGAAAGCAGAUGAUGACCACAGCCUCUCAACACCCAGCUUAACAAAGCUUCGCUCAGCAGUGGGAUCGCGCUCUCCAGAACACAGGUUGCUGUUUUCAGUUCUAUGCUUUGUCCUCUCAUCCCCUUUGUUCUUUCUAGAAACUGUAGCAUAUGUAUAAAUUAUUAUAUCCCAUAAAAAGCACCUCAUGUUCAUGGCAAAAAAAAAAAUAUCCCUAAAAUAUGGUAUAAUAUUUGUUCAGGUAGGCCUCCGGUUGUCAAAAAUUCCUGGGUCCCCAAUGCUAUAAUAAAUGUCACCAGAGAUGAGCCUGGAUUUCAGCAACAAAGGACCCCAGCUUCAUGCAAGGAAGACAGUUGAAUGAUCUGAAAGUGCAGCCUCAUGACUAACAUAGCACUGAUGAAAACAAGCAAGAGGCUUGGGGCCUAUGCUGGCUUGUGCAUGCUAAGGCUGGGAUGAAUUUGUCAUAGCUAGCUGCCAUUGAGGAAUGCUCAUCAACAUGAUCCUGAUGUCCAUGCCACCUGGCCUCAUGAGAGCUGCCAGAGGAACUGAGCUAGCUAAGGCCUACAACCCUUUGGCUCCAAGCCUAACACCUCACCUGAUUAUGAAAUACAGUUAGAGAGCUUGCCCAAACCAGUCCUCCUUUCUGACUUGCUCAUCAGAAAUUAGAAAUUGUCUUAGUACCUAUGGAAUAUGAGGGCAGAAAUUUUAUAGGUUAAUUAUAAAAAAUAUCAGGAGUCCUGGUAACCCUUUUUCUCACUUGGGAUAGAUGGCCAAAGUCUAUAAACUGGGAGGGCUGUGCCUUCUAAAUACAUUCUUAAUGAGUCCCUGGGACACCCUUUGUCAUUCCUAGCACCUCUCCAUUCUUAGGAGUGCUAACACCUUUCAUUUCCUCCUCCACCCUGGUUGAUUUCAGCAGUUCCUUUUUCCUUUUCUUCUCCCAGGCCAUCAGUUACUCACCAUAGGGAGGGGCUUUAUUGUGAAUGAGAGAAGAAAGUCUCAGUAAGUGGUGGGCAUGACACUGAUUUUCUCAGGAUGUAAAGGAAAAAUUGGGGGAUAAAGGAAAGGGAAAUUACAAACUCGUCAUGAUGAUUUUAAUGGAUGUUAAAUCUAGCAAUCUAGUAAGUAAGGAAGCUAAUUGAGGUCUCUGGUCUUUGAAGAUAGGUGUGAUCUCCUUAUUGCCCUUUGGGAUGAGGGAAGAGAGAAAAGUGAGGGAAGUCUUAAAACACUGUAGUCAAUAUUUUUACUCAGUGGAGCCUUGGCUGAAACUCACUUCCUAAGCCCACCAUAUAUAUAUAUUAUUUAUUUAUUUAUUUAUUUAUUUAU